ACACAUGCGAGUCGAACGGAGCACCCUUGAUUGAGGUUUCGGCCAAAUGAUAGGAAUGCUUAGUGGCGGACUGGUGAGUAACGCGUGAGGAACCUGCCUUUCAGAGGGGGACAACAGUUGGAAACGACUGCUAAUACCGCAUGACGCAUUUUGAUCGCAUGGUCGAAAUGCCAAAGAUUUAUCGCUGAAAGAUGGCCUCGCGUCUGAUUAGAUAGUUGGCGGGGUAACGGCCCACCAAGUCGACGAUCAGUAGCCGGACUGAGAGGUUGACCGGCCACAUUGGGACUGAGAUACGGCCCAGACUCCUACGGGAGGCAGCAGUGGGGAAUAUUGGGCAAUGGGCGCAAGCCUGACCCAGCAACGCCGCGUGAAGGAAGAAGGCUUUCGGGUUGUAAACUUCUUUUAAGUGGGAAGAGCAGAAGACGGUACCACUUGAAUAAGCCACGGCUAACUACGUGCCAGCAGCCGCGGUAAUACGUAGGUGGCAAGCGUUGUCCGGAUUUACUGGGUGUAAAGGGCGUGCAGCCGGGCAUGCAAGUCAGAUGUGAAAUCUCAGGGCUUAACCCUGAAACUGCAUUUGAAACUGUAUGUCUUGAGUGCCGGAGAGGUAAUCGGAAUUCCUUGUGUAGCGGUGAAAUGCGUAGAUAUAAGGAAGAACACCAGUGGCGAAGGCGGAUUACUGGACGGUAACUGACGGUGAGGCGCGAAAGCGUGGGGAGCGAACAGGAUUAGAUACCCUGGUAGUCCACGCUGUAAACGAUGGAUACUAGGUGUGCGGGGACUGACCCCCUGCGUGCCGCAGUUAACACAAUAAGUAUCCCACCUGGGG
rnacentral:rRNA from 1 species